rnacentral:rRNA from 1 species
UACGGAGGGUGCAAGCGUUAUCCGGAUUCACUGGGUUUAAAGGGUGCGUAGGUGGGCUAGUAAGUCAGUGGUGAAAUCUCCGGGCUUAACCCGGAAACUGCCAUUGAUACUAUUAGUCUUGAAUACCAUGGAGGUGAGCGGAAUAUGUCAUGUAGCGGUGAAAUGCUUAGAUAUGUCACAGAACACCGAUAGCGAAGGCAGCUCACUAGGUCUGGAUCGACGCUCAGGGACGAAAGCGUGGGGAGCAAACAGG